rnacentral:rRNA from 1 species
AUUGAACGCUGGCGGCAGGCCUAACACAUGCAAGUCGAGCGGAUGACGGGGGCUUGCUCCUUGAUUCAGCGGCGGACGGGUGAGUAAUGCCUAGGAAUCUGCCUGGUAGUGGGGGACAACGUUUCGAAAGGAACGCUAAUACCGCAUACGUCCUACGGGAGAAAGCAGGGGACCUUCGGGCCUUGCGCUAUCAGAUGAGCCUAGGUCGGAUUAGCUCGUAGGUGAGGUAAUGGCUCACCUAGGCGACGAUCCGUAACUGGUCUGAGAGGAUGAUCAGUCACACUGGAACUGAGACACGGCCCAGACUCCUACGGGAGGCAGCAGUGGGGAAUAUUGGACAAUGGGCGAAAGCCUGAUCCAGCCAUGCCGCGUGUGUGAAGAAGGUCUUCGGAUUGUAAAGCACUUUAAGUUGGGAGGAAGGGUUGUAGAUUAAUACUCUGCAAUUUUGACGUUACCGACAGAAUAAGCACCGGCUAACUCUGUGCCAGCCGCCGCAGUAAAAC